CCGGCUGUGACCGCGCGGGCCCCUGAGGUGCUAGAGAUGAGACCUGGCGCGCCCGCUAGGAAUACUUGUUUUAACAACACACUGUGAAAAUUAGAAGUUUCUGAAGGCUACAACUCUUAUGCGAUGGUCAAAAGAUUUUACAAUUUUCCUGCUCAGAUCUACUUAAUCAGAUUAUCUCAAGCUGGCUUAGCUGGGAGUAGCAGCUCAACUACUUCCUCCUGACUUCCAGCAGCUGUUCUGGUUUCUUUCCCAGCAUUCAUACUCCUCCGUGAAAGACUGA